AUGAAUUUGAACUACCUUUCAGUCGUGCUGGCUUUGCAAGUGCACACUGUCUGGUUUCAUCCAACACCCUUGUGCACCUUUGGCCUCGCGUUGUAAUCUUUACGCGUGAGGAUUUUACACAAACUCGUAUGUAAAAGAAUGUAGAUCUAGUGCGUAAGCACGAAAUAAA
rnacentral:misc_RNA from 1 species